rnacentral:rRNA from 1 species
GGAUUAGAUACCCUGGUAGUCCACGCCCUAAACGAUGCGAACUGGAUGUUGAUUUCAAGUGAGAGAUCAGUAUCGAAGCUAACGCGUUAAGUUCGCCGCCUGGGGAGUACGGUCGCAAGACUGAAACUCAAAGGAAUUGACGGGGGCCCGCACAAGCGGUGGAGUAUGUGGUUUAAUUCGAUGCAACGCGAAGAACCUUACCUGGCCUUGACAUGUCCGGAACCUGGCGGAAACGCUGGGGUGCCUUCGGGAGCCGGAACACAGGUGCUGCAUGGCUGUCGUCAGCUCGUGCCG